UGGUCAGUAGGUUACAGGUAGAGUUGAACACUGUGGUCAGUAGGUUACAGGUAGAGUUGAACACUGUGGUCAGUAGGUUACAGGUAGAGUUGAACACUGUGGUCAGUAGGUUACAGGUAGAGUUGAACACUGUGGUCAGUAGGUUACAGGUAGAGUUGAACACUGUGGUCAGUAGGUUACAGGUAGAGUUGAACACUGUGGUCAGUAGGUUACAGGUAGAGUUGAACACUGGUCAGUAGGUUACAGGUAGAGUUGAACACUGGUCAGUAGGUUACAGGUAGAGUUGAACACUGUGGUCAGUAGGUUACAGGUUGAUUCAGUCUAAUGAAGACACAUGUAGCCAUUAGUUGGGACCCCAGGCACCGCAGUGAGGCGUCGGAGC